rnacentral:rRNA from 1 species
UACAGAGGGUGCGAGCGUUAAUCGGAAUUACUGGGCGUAAAGCGUGCGUAGACGGUUAUCUAAGUCGGAUGUGAAAGCCCCGGGCUCAACCUGGGAACUGCGUCCGAUACUGGAUGGCUUGAAUCCGGGAGAGGGAUGCAGAAUUCCAGGUGUAGCGGUGAAAUGCGUAGAUAUCUGGAGGAAUACCGGUGGCGAAGGCGGCAUCCUGGACCGGCAUUGACGCUGAGGAGCGAAAGCCAGGGGAGCAAAGCGGG